ACACACACACACACACACACACACACACACAGAAGGAGUGUGUCUUCAUCCCCUGCUCAGGACGCCAUUACGCCACUAUUUUUUUAGAAAAGCA